rnacentral:rRNA from 1 species
AUUGAACGCUGGCGGCAGGCUUAACACAUGCAAGUCGAACGAGUGGCGGACGGGUGAGUAAUGUCUGGGAAUCUAGCUUAUGGAGGGGGAUAACUACGGGAAACUGUAGCUAAUACCGCAUACUAUAGGAUGAGCCCAUGUGGGAUUAGGUAGUUGGUGGGUUAAAGGCUCACCUAGCCGACGAUCUCUAGCUGGUCUGAGAGGAUGACCAGCCACACUGGGACUGAGACACGGCCCAGACUCCGACGGGAGGCAGCAGUGGGGAAUAUUGCACAAUGGGCGCAAGCCUGAUGCAGCCAUGCCGCGUGUAUGAAGAAGGCCUUAGGGUUGUAAAGUACUUUCAGCGGGGAGGCGUUACCCGCAGAAGAAGCACCGGCUAACUCCGUGCCAGCCGCCGCGGUAAUAC